rnacentral:rRNA from 1 species
UACGAGGGGAGCAAGCGUUGUUCGGAUUUACUGGGCGUAAAGGGCGCGUAGGCGGCCACGACAAGUCACUUGUGAAAUCUCCGGGCUUAACUCGGAACGGUCAAGUGAUACUGUCGGGCUAGAGUACGGAAGGGGCAACUGGAAUUCUCGGUGUAGCGGUGAAAUGCGUAGAUAUCGAGAGGAACACCUGCGGCGAAGGCGGGUUGCUGGGCUGACACUGACGCUGAUAGCGCGAAAGCCAGGGGAGCAAACGGG